rnacentral:rRNA from 1 species
UACGUAGGGUGCGAGCGUUGUCCGGAAUCAUUGGGCGUAAAGAGCGUGUAGGCGGCCCGGUAAGUCCGCUGUGAAAGUCGGGGGGCUCAACCUCGAAUGCCGGUGGAUACUGUCGGGCUAGAGUGCGGAAGAGGCGAGUGGAAUUCCUGGGUGUAGCGGUGAAAUGCGCAGAUAUCAGGAGGAACACCAAUUGCGAAGGCAGCUCGCUGG